GCCUUUGUGGUGUAGUGGUCAGCACGCUCGACGCGUAACCGAGAGGUCCGUGGUUCGAUUCCCGGCGAAGCCA
rnacentral:tRNA from 1 species